UGGGGAAUAUUGCAUAAUGGGCGAAAGCCUGAUGCAGCGACGCCGCGUGAGGGAUGACGGCCUUCGGGUUGUAAACCUCUUUCAGCAGGGAAGAAGCGCAAGUGACGGUACCUGCAGAAGAAGCACCGGCUAACUACGUGCCAGCAGCCGCGGUAAUACGUAGGGUGCGAGCGUUGUCCGGAAUUAUUGGGCGUAAAGAGCUUGUAGGCGGUUUGUCGCGUCUGCCGUGAAAAUUCGAGGCUCAACCUCGAACUUGCGGUGGGUACGGGCAGACUAGAGUGUGGUAGGGGAGAUUGGAAUUCCUGGUGUAGCGGUGGAAUGCGCAGAUAUCAGGAGGAACACCGAUGGCGAAGGCAGAUCUCUGGGCCAUUACUGACGCUGAGGAGCGAAAGCGUGGGGAGCGAAC
rnacentral:rRNA from 1 species